rnacentral:rRNA from 1 species
CGACCAAAUCUCGUUGAAAUAUCGGUUCUCGUCCGAUCACCGAAAUUAAGCAACGUCGAGACUAGACAGUACCUAGAUGGGUGACCGCUUGUAAAAUACUGGGUGCUGUAA